UACGAAGGGGGCUAGCGUUGUUCGGAAUCACUGGGCGUAAAGGGCGCGUAGGCGGCUUUGUAAGUCAGGGGUGAAAGCCUGUGGCUCAACCACAGAAUUGCCUUCGAUACUGCAUGGCUUGAGACCGGAAGAGGUAAGUGGAACUGCGAGUGUAGAGGUGAAAUUCGUAGAUAUUCGCAAGAACACCAGUGGCGAAGGCGGCUUACUGGUCCGGUUCUGACGCUGAGGCGCGAAAGCGUGGGGAGCAAACAGG
rnacentral:rRNA from 1 species